rnacentral:other from 1 species
AUCGAGCUGGGUCGCGCGUCAGGCAAGCUACGUCUCCGGGGCCAAUAACGACUUCCUAGGGAGCUGCCUCUGUUAGGAUCGUGGUCCUAAUAUUGCGGUGCCCACCUGCUUUUGCAGGCCUUGGAAGACUACAACGCCAACGGCGAUCUGGCUCUAUA